GUUUCAUCUUCAGAACCAAGACCUGUAUGAUGCCAGUGAAGUAACUUUUAACUAAAACAUUCAUAAUCCUGUAUUUACUUGAAGCACUUGUAUCAGUAAAGAUGCUCUUAGAACUGUGUAGUUGAUAAACAAAAUUCUGCCACUGAUGGAAAGAUGUUGAACUACUUGAAUCAAGUUUUUGUCUCCUGGCAUUCGAUAUAACUAGUAUAGCAGAAAUCAGAGUGAGGUUCUUGCAUCUGAAGUUGUAAGUGAGCUUCACCCAAGGGAUUGCACGCCCCAACCUCUUACUUCAUUACAAGUAAACAGAUGAACUUCGUUCAGGUGACGAUCAAAUCAGGAUGUUUAAUUUGUAAGGUAUGAUCUAAUCAUUGCUGUUGGGAAUUGGAAAAACAGAUUUAGUUUUUAAUUCAAUAUAAUUGAUUUUUUUUUUCUUAUAAAUUAUUUUUCUCAUAUCUGAUUUUGGAAAAUGUAUCAAGUUACUUACUUUUCGAAACUCAAUAAAAACUGAGGCUAAAAAUAUACUUUUUCA